UUAGUAUAUUAUGAAAAUAUAAAAUCUAGUUACAAUCGAAUUAAAUAUUUAAAAGCUUUUAAAAUAUUUGAAUUUAGUUAAAGCUCAGAACACACCAAAUAAAACAAAAAGCAAAACUCGUUCAAUAAUUUAUUCUCCACCAUCCACCAUCGAAACUUCGUUUAGCUUUGAUUUUUUUUUUCAGCAACGUUUUUGUCUUUGUCUCUUCAGUUAAAUCAUUUGUCAAUAUUGAAACACUAACUAUAUUCCAUUUGACCAACUUUAAAGCUUCCAAUGUUACGAAAACACACUUCUAAGUUGGAAGCAUUCGCUUCAAAUGCGCUUCGAACUCAGGUAUUCUGGAGUCGUGCUUUUCUCACGCUUCCGGACGUUUUCACGCGCUUCCGUAUCCGACUCCGGUUCAGAAGCGAGAAUCGCCCUUCCAUGGACGCUUCCAUGUAACGUAGAUCAACACUCUAAAGGAACAAGAAAAUUUAAUGGUUUCGUUAGUGUGAAGCUCAAGUUUGAAGCCCAGCUUAAGAACAAGAGUAAGCACGUAGGCGUACGUGCCGUUAUAAGUGUUGAGCAGGAUUUCAUACCUAAAUCCAGUUUACUUAAAACUUAUCUAGAACGGAGUAGGUUUCACAUUAUCCGUGAUUCUAUCGAUCAACGCCCAAUCAUUUCAUGUAUCUUAUAAACUACAUAGAAUUGGAGGUAGUGAACUCCAAAACAAUUAAUACCAAGUCAUAGCAAAUAUUGAACCAAUCGAACAAUGGUUGUGAUUUGAGAAGUUAGAUGCUGCAUAUAUACAAGAUAUAAGUCAAAUGGUUGAUCUCGAUUGAAGCUAUAAAAAUAACUUUAAGUUCAAAAUGAAAAAUAGACUGCUAUUUGAUAAACACACACAUAUACAUUUCUGAUAUUUGAUAAACACACUACAUUGUACGCUCAGCUAGCUUGUUUAAAACACAUCAGACCGAUUGAUCAUUCUUGUAAAUCUUUACUUCAUUAUAUAUACUAAAUUUUUAUUCAUAAAUUUUCUUACCUCAUUUUCCUAAUUUCCUACAACCAAUUAUAAAAUAUCUGCUGUGGAUUUUAACAUCCACAAUUUGGUCUCCAAAUCAAAAGUUUGAAACUAAAAUUAUAAAAACUCUUUUAAAUGCUCGUAUUAUUGUUCUGUUCUUCAAUCUCCCAUCUGGUUUCUUGCUUUUUCUAUUCAAACAAACAUAUAUGGGCCAAAGAGAGUAAAUACAAACUUAUGUAUACCAUAUAUCUAUAAGUUCUCUACUGUAUAUUGCAACAUCUGUCUAAAUUUUAUGGAAGAGGUCCUACCUAAUUUCUCUAAAUAGUAAAUACUAUACGACCCCUUACCACAAAAAUACACACAUCCACCCACCCACCCACCCGCACCAAUUAAAAUC